UGAGGGCCAGAAGGGAACUUGAGGAUCAGAGGGGGAGGUACAGCCUUCUCCUUACAGAUGGUCACCUGCACAAAGACACUCCACCUUCUGCAGACAGCAGGGCCAUCCUCUGAGGCACCUUUACAGAGCUUGCCUGGGCCUUCAGAGUGGCUGAGAUCGUAGAGGAAGGAGCGUAGCCCCAGGGCCCAGGCCCACUCUCAUUCCAUCACUUCCUGUGUUUGUCCACUGAGCCCGUGGCCCAGCCCUCUGUCCCUGCCAGCAACACCGCAGUCACAGAACAUAAGGACUCUGUGGUCCUGACCUGCUCCACAAAUAACACUGGGGUCUCCAUCCAGUGGUUUCUCAAUGGCCAGAGUCUAAAGCUCAUGGAGACAAUGAAGCUGACCCAGGACAACAGCACCCUCACCAUAUGCCCUGUCAGGAGAGAGUGCUGGGAAUUUUCAGUGUGAGGUCUCCAACCCAGUCAGUUCUGGCAAAAGUGACCCCAUCAGGCUGGAUCUGAGCUCUCGGUGACCUUCAGUGAUUUACUGAAGCCCUUUCCAUAGUGAGAUGCUCAUUUUGGACAGUGGGGAUGACACCUGGCCCCCUCAUGGACAGGGAAGCGGCAGAUGAGAUAAACGUAAAGUAUUUCCCACGUGCCCGGCACAGGACCGACCUCCAAAGCAGUCAGCUAAUGUUAUUCUCUUUAAAGUGUUGAGUCAACAGGUAAGGGCCUCCCUCUAAGAACAGUGACAGAAAUGGAAAGGAAGACCCAGGAGAAGAGGCAUAAUGUGAGCAGUAAAUGAACAGCACACUGGCACUGGCCCCGGGGUGGGGGACAAUGUGAAGAAUGAAGCAAGUCCAGGGUUUCACCGUGAGGAACAGAAAUGAUGCAGCGGUCAAGGGGGUGGGGACACUGUGGUGACAACACACACAUCACCCAGAGCUCAGUGGCCUUUCCUUCCUCCCUAACCAGGCCCUUCCCCCACGGCCCCUCUUGGCUUCCCCAGAUUUGACUUGGGACUCAUUCCCCUCCCGUUUUUUCCUUAUUUCAGAUG